GACGAACCGAGCGAACGUUAUUCGGAAUCACUGGGCUUAAAGGGCGCGUAGGCGGGCCGUCUAGUCCGGGGUGAAAGCCUCCAGCUCAACUGGAGAAGUGCCUCGGAUACUGGCGGCCUCGAGGGAGGUAGGGGCGUGCGGAACUUCCGGUGGAGCGGUGAAAUGCGUAGAGAUCGGAAAGAACACCAACGGCGAAAGCACUCUGCUGGGCCGACACUGACACUGAGAGACGAAAGCUAGGGGAGCGAAUGGG
rnacentral:rRNA from 1 species